AAUAUUUUUCUUCCUGAAACCUCUGCAGUGGUAGCAAUGCAUUGAAGUUUGAUUAAAAGUUUACUGCUCAUUCCUGCCAUGAGAAGAUGAUAGAGAAGAUCACCACAGUGUGGCUUGCUUCUAAGGCAGCAUGGUUUCAUGCAGAGGAUCUAAACUGGGUACCAUGUGCUGGGCUGCAAAAGGGCUGUGCAGUGCCUAAAAUGUUGUGCAAAAUUUUAUAAAGCCUCGUCUUUCUCUUGAACUCCAUAAUUAUGUAUGCAACUUCAUCUUCAGCAUCUUCAGUUGGAUGUCUAAUUCCAAACUGCACAUGUACAGGAGACGUUUUGACCAUUUUCCCACAAACUUGACCUAUCCACAGGC